AUUUACUCCAGAAGAAACACCACCAACGAGUUUAUUUUCCCUAGGCCACUAAACCCUAAUCACCGAGCUUUUAGUAUCACGUUUUUUCUCCACUGCCUCAUCUCCUCCCUUUUCCUCUCUCUGUUCUCCUUAACUGUCUCUUAACUGUCUCUUUAAUUCCUAAGAUUUCUUCUUCGGAGAUCAUAUCUUCCUUGAUUGUUCAUUUUUGAUUUGGCUCUAAUUAUUGUUCAUUGUUUGCAGCGACGAUUUUCGUUGCUCUGGAUGUUCUUUACGGUAUACGGGCCGAGAUGAGUAAGAAGCAUUCACUAGAAAAAACAGAAGGUUACACAUCGAACAACUACUUGCUAAAAGAGCUUCAUUGUGGUGCAAUACUUUGGUAUCAAGAGAGUACUAAAAAAUCACGGGCUAAGGAGGAUUGCGAGUUUAGCCUAUGUUGCUUAAUGCAAUUCUAAGCUACUGCGUGAAGCUCCAAAAUUCAGUAUUUUUUUGUUAUUGACACAGUAUUUUUUUUCUUUCUAUUCUUCUACUUAAAGCUCCAUGAAUUUGUUGUUACACAUAUAUAUCACAAAUUCAGUUUAUUUAUGAGUUUUUCUUUCUCACAAAUUACAGAAGCCAGGAUAAUUAGUAGGUUCGUAAUUGGCGCAGGUGAAAUUUUCUCAUCUUAAUCUGCUCUGACUUUCGUUUUAUGUUGUUAUAGUUUCUGUUGGUCUUUUCCUGUAAUUUUUUGAUGGACAUAGAAAGGUUCAAAGAGAUUUGGUUUAAAUGAUGAAUAUGCAAAAUAUGUCAUACUAUUAACAAGGUAGGUUUUCCAUUAAUUUCUUGGAUGCUACCCCUAUUUGGAAAUGAUACAAUAAUGCCGGGAGUACAUGUUGAUUGUUGGUUGACGAUCAAUUGAUUUGAACUUAAAAUUCAAGAGUACGGCAUUAUCAGAACACUCACACGACAAGUCAGGAUGUGAAAAAUUCAACACAAGAUGAAUGACUUAAAAUGAAAAACGUACAUGCCGUAACCAUGUGGAUCCCUUGAAAACAAUACAACACUAAAAGAUAUCUGGAUUAUAAAUUUUUAUCAACAUAUUGUCCAAAUGCAAAUCUGAAGGAAACUUUGAAUGGAGAAGAAGAAUACAAAGAAGAUGGUCAUUACAUGAUUGAGAUAUGUAAGCAAUACUGAAUAUGGGGAUGCCCGCCCCAAAAAAUCAAAAACUGUUAAAGUCUUCUAAGUACUUGCUUUGGAUGGAAGAAUAAAAGACUAGAUGGAAAGGAAUAACUAAUCAGUUCAUCUGUUGGCAUGCUCAUAUUCUGGUAUGAUUAACAUCUUCAAGUAGCUUCCAGUUAAUUCUUCACUAUAUCUUGCUUUGGAUGGAAGAAUAAAAGACUAGAUGGAAAGGAAUAACUAAUCAGUUCAUAUGUUGGUAUAUGCUCAUAUUCUGAUAUGAUUAGCAUCUUCAAGUAGCUUCCAGUUUAUUCUUCAUUAUAUCUUUAUGUUUCCAAUUUUUCCUUAGUUGCAAAAUAAUUAACGUAAAUAUGUUACCAUUCAGAUAUUUGUUUUCAUCUAUUUCAAGAUCUUUUUGGUUAUGUUUUGAUAAAAUUGCUUUUCAAGAGCGAGCAGAAGUCUUAAAAUGUUUAAGAUGUUCUCAACGUCUUAAUUUUCUAAUUUUAAGAAUUAUUGGAAUUGGUAAGACACAUUUCUGCAAAGAUUCAUCUACUUAGAUUAGGGACAACCAAUCUGAGCCCGUGCAGAGCACGGGCGCAGCAACUAGUAUUUAUAUGUUGCGGUUUAAUCAGAAAGACGAUUGAGACGAAUAGAAAAAGAAGGUAAACAUUUGAUUUUUACGAUUUUUUUUCUUCUGUUAUUAUUGGUUCAGGUUGAUGUUUUAGUAUACUUUGACAAAUAUAUUAUGUUGCAAUUGAAUCAACGAAAAGCCUUGACCAUUAUGCCGUUGCUUGAUAUAAUCUGUGUUGAUGAGUGAUCAUGUUGCGUAGACAGUCAACGAUGGGCUUAAGUAAUUCAAUGUCGAGUUCGAUGGUAUAAAGAAGGUAAGGUUUCUUCUUUCUUCUAUGUGAUGCUUCUUCCAUUAAAAUUAAUACGCAACUCUAGGUUUUUCAAUGGUUGAAUUCAAAGAUCAGGUCAUACUAAAAUUUGACGGAUUUUUUGUGAAAGCUGAAAUGUUUCAUAUAUCACAAGGUUUGGUACUUCGGCUCACUAAGGUUUGAAUUGGAUUCCAGAAAUCGUCAACUCAUAGAGCACUAAGGGACUGCGUAGUUUGCAAUUCAAUUUGUAUCAAUUUACCAAGGUUUGGAUGAAUUCGUCAGUGGAUUCCAGAACUCACAAUUUACAGAACGCUUACAAUAGCAUGGUGAUUGCAUACCUUAGAGGUUAUCUUUUUUGACAUGAAUUAUAAAUUUUUUAUAUGAUUCUAGGUUUUUGUUGUUAUUUAGAAUUAUAGAAUUACUCCUUUUGAUGUGUUCUGAUAAGAUUUGUAAGAUUGUUGCAAUUUAAGGUCCUAGGUUUAGGCAAUGUCAGUAAAAAAGCUAUUUAGUUCUUCUAGAAUUUGUCCUUUUUUAUGAGUUUCUUAUUUCUUUUCUUUUUGUUUUUAUUUUCACUGCUGAACUGAUUAGAGUUAUUAACUUUUGAUUGAUGUCAUUGUGUUUUAAAUUUGAUAUGCUUUUGUUAGUUAGGUUAUUAACUGUGAGUUUCCGUGUUGUAGGCUGUACAUUUGGUUUUAUAAUUUUGUGAUCAAUUUAUGAUAUAUCCUUAUGGUUUUGUUAUUCAUGAAGUCUAGAGCCAACGAAAACUGAUGAUGAGUUUGAUUGAAUGGGUUUCAUGUUGAUUAUGUAUGCUCAUAUUCUGGUAUGAUUAGCAUCUUCAAGUAGCUUCCAGUUUAUUCUUCACUAUAUCUUGCUUUGGAUGGAAGAAUAAAAGACUAGAUGGAAAGGAAUAACUAAUCAGUUCAUAUGUUGGUAUAUGCCCAUAUUCUGAUAUGAUUAGCAUCUUCAAGUAGCUUCCAGUUUAUUCUUCAUUAUAUCUUUAUGUUUCCAGUUUUUCCUUAGUUGCAAAAUAAUUAAAGUAAAUAUGUUACCAUUCAGAUAUUUGUUUUCAUCUAUUUCAAGAUCUUUUUGGUUAUGUUUUGAUAAAAUUGCUUUUGAAGAGCAAGCGGAAGCCUUAAUAUGUUUAAGAUGUUCUCAACGUCUUAAUUUUCUACUUUUAAAAAUUAUUGGAAUUGGUAAGACACAUUUCUGCAAAGAUUCAUCUACUUAGAUUAGGGACAACCAAUCUGAGCCCGUGCAGAGCACGGGCGCAGCAACUAGUAUUUAUAUGUUGCGGUUUAAUCAGAAAGACGAUUGAGACGAAUAGAAAAAGAAGGUAAACAUUUGAUUUUUACGAUUUUUUUUCUUCUGUUAUUAUUGGUUCGGGUUGAUGUUUUAGUAUACUUUGACAGAUAUAUUAUAUUGCAAUUGAAUCAACGAAAAGCCUUGACCAUUAUGCCGUUGCUUGAUAUAAUCUGUGUUGAUGAGUGAUCAUGUUGCGUAGACAGUCAACGAUGGGCUUAAGUAAUUCAAUGUCGUGUUCGAUGGUAUAAAGAAGGUAAGGUUUCUGCUUUCUUCUAUGCGAUGCUUCUUCCAUUAAAAUUAAUACGCAACUCUAGGUUUUUCAAUGGUUGAAUUCAAAGAUCAGGUCAUACUAAAAUUUGACGGAUUUUUUGUGAAAGCUGAAAUGUUCCAUAUAUCACAAGGUUUGGUACUUCGGCUCACUAAGGUUUGAAUUGGAUUCCAGAAAUCGUCAACUCAUAGAGCACUAAGGGACUGCGUAGUUUGCAAUUCAAUUUAUAUCAGUUUACCAAGGUUUGGAUGAAUUCGUCAGUGGAUUCCAGAACUCACAAUUUACAGAACGCUUACAAUAGCAUGGUGAUUGCAUACCUUAGAGGUUAUCCUUUUUGACAUGAAUUAUAAAUUUUUUAUAUGAUUCUAGGUUUUUGUUGUUAUUUAGAAUUAUAGAGUUACUCCUUUUGAUGGGUUCUGAUAAGAUUUGUAAGAUUGUUGCAAUUUAAGGUUUUAGGUUUAGGCAAUGUCAGUAAAAAAGCUAUUUAGUUCUUCUAGAAUUUGUCCUUUUUUAUGAGUUUCUUAUUUCUUUUCUUUUUGUUUUUAUUUUCGCUGCUGAACUGAUUAGAGUUAUUAACUUUUGAUUGAUGUCAUUGUGUUUUAAAUUUGAUAUGCUUUUGUUAGUUAGGUUAUUAACUGUGAGUUUCCGUAUUGUAGGCUGUACAUUUGGUUUUAUAAUUUUGUGAUCAAUUUAUGAUAUAUCCUUAUGGUUUUGUUACUCAUGAAGUCUAGAGCCAACGAAAGCUGAUGAUGAGUUUGAUUGAAUGGGUUUCAUGUUGAUUAUGUAUGCUCAUAUUCUGGUAUGAUUAGCAUCUUCAAGUAGCUUCCAGUUUAUUCUUCACUAUAUAUUGCUUUGGAUGGAAGAAUAAAAGACUAGAUGGAAAGGAAUAACUAAUCAGUUCAUAUGUUGGUAUAUGCUCAUAUUUUGAUAUGAUUAGCAUCUUCAAGUAGCUUCCAGUUUAUUCUUCAUUAUAUCUUUAUGUUUCCAAUUUUUCCUUAGUUGCAAAAUAAUUAAAGUAAAUAUGUUACCAUUCAGGUAUUUGUUUUCAUCUAUUUCAAGAUCUUUUUGGUUAUGUUUUGAUAAAAUUGCUUUUGAAGAGCAAGCAGAAGUCUUAAAAUGUUUAAGAUGUUCUCAGCGUCUUAAUUUUUUACUUCUAAGAAUUAUUGGAAUUGGUAAGACACAUUUCUGCAAAGAUUCAUCUACUUAGAUUAGGGACAACCAAUCUGAGCCCGUGCAGAGCACGGGCGCAGCAACUAGUAUUUAUAUGUUGCGGUUUAAUCAGAAAGACGAUUGAGACGAAUAGAAAAAGAAGGUAAACAUUUGAUUUUUACGAUUUUUUUCUUCUGUUAUUAUUGGUUCAGGUUGAUGUUUUAGUAUACUUUGAUAGAUAUAUUAUGUUGCAAUUGAAUCAACGAAAAGCCUUGACCAUUAUGCCGUUGCUUGAUAUAAUCUGUGUUGAUGAGUGAUCAUGUUGCGUAGACAGUCAACGAUGGGCUUAAGUAAUUCAAUGUCGAGUUCGAUGGUAUAAAGAAGGUAAGGUUUCUUCUUUCUUCUAUGUGAUGCUUCUUCCAUUAAAAUUAAUACGCAACUCUAGGUUUUUCAAUGGUUGAAUUCAAAGAUCAGGUCAUACUAAAAUUAGACGGAUUUUUUGUGAAAGCUGAAAUGUUUCAUAUAUCACAAGGUUUGGUACUUCGGCUCACUAAGGUUUGAAUUGGAUUCCAGAAAUCGUCAACUCAUAGAGCACUAAGGGAAUGCGUAGUUUGCAAUUCAAUUUUAUAUCAGUUUACCAAGGUUUGGAUGAAUUCGUCAGUGGAUUCCAGAACUCACAAUUUACAGAACGCUUACAAUAGCAUGGUGAUUGCAUACCUUAGAGGUUAUCCUUUUUUGACAUGAAUUAUAAAUUUUUUAUAUGAUUCUAGGUUUUUGUUGUUAUUUAGAAUUAUAGAGUUACUCCUUUUGAUGGGUUCUGAUAAGAUUUGUAAGAUUGUUGCAAUUUAAGGUCCUAGGUUUAGGCAAUGUCAGUAAAAAAGCUAUUUAGUUCUUCUAGAAUUUGUCCUUUUUUUAUGAGUUUCUUAUUUCAUUUCUUUUUGUUUUUAUUUUCACUGCUGAACUGAUUAGAGUUAUUAACUUUUGAUUGAUGUCAUUGUGUUUUAAAUUUGAUAUGCUUUUGUUAGUUAGGUUAUUAACUGUGAGUUUCCAUAUUGUAGGCUAUACAUUUGGUUUUAUAAUUUUGUGAUCAAUUUAUGAUAUAUCCUUAUGGUUUUGUUAUUCAUGAAGUCUAGAGCCAACGAAAGCUGAUGAUGAGUUUGAUUGAAUGGGUUUCAUGUUGAUUAUGUAUGCUCAUAUUCUGGUAUGAUUAGCAUCUUCAAGUAGCUUCCAGUUUAUUCUUCACUAUAUCUUGCUUUGGAUGGAAGAAUAAAAGACUAGAUGGAAAGGAAUAACUAAUCUGUUCAUAUGUUGGUAUAUGCCCAUAUUCUGAUAUGAUUAGCAUCUUCAAGUAGCUUCCAGUUUAUUCUUCAUUAUAUCUUUAUGUUUCCAAUUUUUCCUUAGUUGCAAAAUAAUUAAAGUAAAUAUGUUACCAUUCAGAUAUUUGUUUUCAUCUAUUUCAAGAUCUUUUUGGUUAUGUUUUGAUAAAAUUGCUUUUGAAGAGCAAGCAGAAGUCUUAAAAUGUUUAAGAUGUUCUCAACGUCUUAAUUUUCUACUUUUAAGAAUUAUUGGAAUUGGUAAGACACAUUUCUGCAAAGAUUCAUCUACUUAGAUUAGGGACAACCAAUCUGAGCCCGUGCAGAGCACGGGCGCAUCAACUAGUAUUUAUAUGUUGCGGUUUAAUCAGAAAGACGAUUGAGACGAAUAGAAAAAGAAGGUAAACAUUUGAUUUUUACGAUUUUUUUUCUUCUGUUAUUAUUGGUUCAGGUUGAUGUUUUAGUAUAUUUUGACAGAUAUAUUAUGUUGCAAUUGAAUCAACGAAAAGCCUUGACCAUUAUGCCGUUGCUUGAUAUAAUCUGUGUUGAUGAGUGAUCAUGUUGCGUAGACAGUCAACGAUGGGCUUAAGUAAUUCAAUGUCGAGUUCGAUGGUAUAAAGAAGGUAAGGUUUCUGCUUUCUUCUAUGUGAUGCUUCUUCCAUUAAAAUUAAUACGCAACUCUAGGUUUUUCAAUGGUUGAAUUCAAAGAUCAGGUCAUACUAAAAUUUGACGGAUUUUUUGUGAAAGCUGAAAUGUUUCAUAUAUCACAAGGUUUGGUACUUCGGCUCACUAAGGUUUGAAUUGGAUUCCAGAAAUAGUCAACUCAUAAAGCACUAUGGGAAUGCGUAGUUUGCAAUUCAAUUUAUAUCAGUUUACCAAGGUUUGGAUGAAUUCGUCAGUGGAUUCCAGAACUCACAAUUUACAGAACGCUUACAAUAGCAUGGUGAUUGCAUACCUUAGAGGUUAUCCUUUUUGACAUGAAUUAUCAAUUUUUUAUAUGAUUCUAGGUUUUUGUUGUUAUUUAGAAUUAUAGAGUUACUCCUUUUGAUGGGUUCUGAUAAGAUUUGUAAGAUUGUUGCAAUUUAAGGUCCUAGGUUUAGGCAAUGUCAGUAAAAAAGCUAUUUAGUUCUUCUAGAAUUUGUCCUUUUUUAUGAGUUUCUUAUUUCUUUUCUUUUUGUUUUUAUUUUCACUGCUGAACUGAUUAGAGUUAUUAACUUUUGAUUGAUGUCAUUGUGUUUUAAAUUUGAUAUGCUUUUGUUAGUUAGGUUAUUAACUGUGAGUUUCCGUAUUGUAGGCUGUACAUUUGGUUUUAUAAUUUUGUGAUCAAUUUAUGAUAUAUCCUUAUGGUUUUGUUAUUCAUGAAGUCUAGAGCCAACGAAAGCUGAUGAUGAGUUUGAUUGAAUGGGUUUCAUGUUGAUUAUGUAUGCUCAUAUUCUGGUAUGAUUAGCAUCUUCAAGUAGCUUCCAGUUUAUUCUUCACUAUAUCUUGCUUUGGAUGGAAGAAUAAAAUACUAGAUGGAAAGGAAUAACUAAUCAGUUCAUAUGUUGGUAUAUGCUCAUAUUCUGAUAUGAUUAGCAUCUUCAAGUAGCUUCCAGUUUAUUCUUCAUUAUAUCUUUAUGUUUCCAAUUUUUCCUUAGUUGCAAAAUAACUAAAGUAAAUAUGUUACCAUUCAGAUAUUUGUUUUCAUCUA